GACGAACGCUGGCGGCGUGCUUAACACAUGCAAGUCGAACGGAAAGGCCCAGCUUGCUGGGUGCUCGAGUGGCGAACGGGUGAGUAACACGUGGGUGAUCUGCCUCUAACUUCGGGAUAAGCUUGGGAAACUGGGUCUAAUACCGGAUAGGACAAUCGUUUAGUGUCGGUCGUGGAAAGUUUUUUCGGUUAGGGAUGAGCCCGCGGCCUAUCAGCUUGUUGGUGGGGUAAUGGCCUACCAAGGCGUCGACGGGUAGCCGGCCUGAGAGGGUGGACGGCCACAUUGGGACUGAGAUACGGCCCAGACUCCUACGGGAGGCAGCAGUGGGGAAUAUUGCACAAUGGGCGCAAGCCUGAUGCAGCGACGCCGCGUGGGGGAUGACGGCCUUCGGGUUGUAAACCUCUUUCGACAGGGACGAAGCUUUGGUGACGGUACCUGUAUAAGAAGCACCGGCUAACUACGUG
rnacentral:rRNA from 1 species